UACGUGGGGACCGAGCGUUGUCCGGAUUUAUUGGGCGUAAAGAGCUCGUAGGCGGCUCAGUAAGUCAGGUGUGAAACCUCCAGGCUCAACCUGGAGACGCCACCUGAUACUGCUGUGGCUAGAGUCCGGUAGGGGAGCGUGGAAUUCCUGGUGUAGCGGUGAAAUGCGCAGAUAUCAGGAGGAACACCAGCGGCGAAGGCGGCGCUCUGGGCCGGAACUGACGCUGAGGAGCGAAAGCGUGGGUAGCAAACAGG
rnacentral:rRNA from 1 species